rnacentral:rRNA from 1 species
GACGAGCCACCCAAACGUUAUUCGGAAUUACUGGGCUUAAAGGGUGCGUAGGCGGUGCAGCAAGUCGGGAGUGAAAUACCUCAGCUUAACUGAGGAACUGCUUUCGAUACUGCUGUGCUUGAGUAAGACAGAGGUAAGCGGAACUUAGGGUGUAGCGGUGGAAUGCGUAGAGAUCCGGAAGAACACCGGUGGCGAAGGCGGCCUGCUGGGCAGUGGCUGACGCUGAGGCGCGACAGCGUGGGGGAGCAAACAGG